CGGUUUCCCAAGAACCGCACUUACCUCCCCCGGAAUGCUUCGUUGGAGAGUCGGGAACCUGUCGGGUAUUUCUCACACAGUGUUCUCUUAUCAUCGAGCUGCAGGCCUCCUCCUUCCCCUUCGACCACUCGAAGAUAGCAUACCUCAUCACGCUGAUGUCCGCGAGGGCUCUCGCCUGGGCUACGUCCGUGUGGGAACAACAGUCGGCCAUAUGCUUCAGUCUGGAGGAGUUUGUGGCGGAGGUUUUCAAUUCUCAAUUGUCCAGGAGAAAGGCUGCCCGGAAGUUACUCCAGCUUUGGCAAGACUCCCGCAGUGUGGCAGACUAUGCAGUGGAUUUCUGUACAUUGGCAGCUGAGAGUGCCUGGAACCGGGAAACGCUGUUCGACGCGUUCCUGCAUGGAUUAUCGGAGGAAGUGAAGGACGAGGUAGCAGCCUGGGAACUACCGACCAAUCGCAACUCGCUCAUUGCCUUGACAAUCCGGAUCGAUGGACGGCUACGGGAAUGUAGGAAGGAGAGGAGUUCCGAUUCCACUCGCUCGCCCAAGGAUUCCACUUCGCCUCCGAGUCAUCCCGGAAAUCCAUUACGUGUCCAUUACGUCUCCGAAAUCUGCUGAUUCACCUUUUCCCAAUGGCCGAUGAGCACCGAUACGUUUUAUCCAUGAUUUCUCUUCAUAUGAAAAGGAUUUGCCAGUAGAUUCGAAACUGCACACGGCACCAUCGCUUGGAGAAACAGGCGACAUCUUCAGGCUUUUCCAGAGUCACCUACUCCAGAGAGACAGAAGCAGAACAACAAAGGAGUCACCCAGUCUACCAGUGAGGACAGCACACAGGCCCCAACUGUGAGCCAGCCAACUCCCAUCCCCUCACUCAGAUCACCACCUCAGCCAGCCUCACCACAACUAGUGAGAAUAACCUUGAGAAGUCAAGAGGCCCCAGAGUCUGCAACACCACUAAGCAAGGGGCACCGCACCACGAAGCAAGCGGCACCAUGAAGACCAAGGAGCUCUCCAAACAGUCUCAUCAGGUACUUGAUGGCCCCAGGAACUACAUGAAGCUCGCCGUCUGCAUUUUU
ensembl:lncRNA